rnacentral:rRNA from 1 species
UACAGAGGCCCCGAGCGUUAGGCGGAAUCACUGGGCUUAAAGCGUGUGUAGGUGGAUGACUAAGUACCUUGUGAAAUCCCACGGCUCAACCGUGGAACUGCUUGGUAUACUGGUUGUCUUGAGGCACUCAGGGGCGAGCGGAACAGAUGGUGGAGCGGUGAAAUGCGUAGAUAUCAUCUGGAACGCCAAUGGUGAAGACAGCUCGCUGGGGGUGUACUGACACUGAGACACGAAAGCCAGGGGAGCAAACGGG